CCGGUCGGGCAGCCGCCGCCCUGGUGCUCGCUCCGUUCCGCCCGGCGGCCACUCGCCAGCUCACAGCCCUGCAAAAUCCCCAGCCCCGCUUUGAGUCGCCUCAUCUUGGAUCUUUGCCGUACGCCACCUAGCUGCUCCUUGGCGUUGUCCGGGUGUAAAGCGUCCGGAUGUACGGCUGGGGUGAGAUAAGAUCCUGGGUGACUGGUCAAGGAAGAUAGGCCUUUACCACACCGCUGAGGAUGGCUACACAGGGGACUUGUGUCCCAGCAUGUGUACAACCUUCAGAGUGGUAGCACCUAGGAGCACAGCCACUAGGAAGGAAUCAAGUAAGCUUGCUGGACUAUUCUGAGUGGGAAUUGCCCAAAGACAGCAACAGAACAGCCUCUUCCAGCACUGCCAUCUGAUCUGCCUGCCAGUGCCAACAUCCUACAUCCUGUCUGUGCCAAAGCACCUUCUCCUCCUCUUCUUAUGGGAACUUGCCUAUCCUUGGUGUGCAAAACACUGGAUUAGCCAUUCAAGUUAAAGGUUAACUCCAAGAGCCCUUUAGUUUUGCAAUCCCGUUCUCUGAGGAUAUUAGUUUAUUUUACUGCACAGAAGCCUCAAUUCACAUGAAGUGAAUGACUCCAUUCAGCUGAGGUGCCUUGUUCUCCCAGAGUCAUCCUGAAAUUUGUGGAAAGAGUAUUUCUAGAAGGCAGUUUGCCUAACCAAGGUCUAAUCUCUCCCAGGAGGGUCCUAACUCCUUGUACUUGGUGUGGAGAGCAGAUAGGCCAGCUGAGUUCUUAGUUUGUAAAAUGUGGUAGCUGGCACACAAACCCAAGAGGUGUAUUGAUGCUUGCAUCGAGACUCAGGAUUUCAGAGACUGUCAGGCAGGUUUUUGUCACCCAGUUUGUGAGUAGAGCAGCCCUGAGUUCCAGUGGCUGAAGAUGACCUAGAGAGGUAAAUUUGACCAAGGAGAACAUGCAGUGGACUAAGAUCAUGAGAACAAUAACGGGCGUGGAGUUAAGACAAAUCAACUGCACCAGUGACAUUCAUGGUGUAUGUUUGUCUAACCUGCUAAUAAAACCUGCAACAGUAGGU
rnacentral:lncRNA from 1 species